rnacentral:misc_RNA from 1 species
UCGAACACACACACGAGAGAGGGGACUGUCGCUGGCUUCGGCAUGUGCACGUUCUCUUCUCACCUCACCCUUACACUUGUGCACCUUCUGUAGGCCCUCGAAAGAGGAUCUACGUCUUCCAUUCACACCGAUCGCAUGUCCAUAGAAUGUCAUAAUCAAAUAUA